rnacentral:rRNA from 1 species
GGUGAACGCUGGCGGCGUGCUUAAGACAUGCAAGUCGAACGGCAGUCUUCGGACUGUAGCGGCGCACAGGUGAGUAACGCGUAACUGACCUACCCCAAAGUCGCGGAUAACGAUUCGAAAGAAUCGCUAAUACGUGAUGUGCUGUCAGAUUGUGUUCUGCCAGUAAAGAUUGAUUGCUUUGGGAUGGGGUUGCGUUCCAUCAGCUAGUUGGUGGGGUAAAGGCCCACCAAGGCGACGACGGAUAGCCGGCCUGAGAGGGUGGCCGGCCACAGGGGCACUGAGACACGGGUCCCACUCCUACGGGAGGCAGCAGUUAGGAAUCUUCCACAAUGGGCGAAAGCCUGAUGGAGCGACGCCGCGUGAGGGAUGAAGGUCUUCGGAUCGUAAACCUCUGAAUCAGGGACGAAAGACACUUCGGUGGGAUGACGGUACCUGAGUAAUAGCACCGGCUAACUCCGUGCCAGCCGCCGCGGUAAAAC